UGAGCAAUCUGCCCUUCUCUUUGGAAUAAGCGUUGGAAACGACGUCUAAUGCCGAAUACGACCUCCUUUCGCAUGAUCGGAGGUGGAAAGCUCCGGCGGAGAAGGAUGAGCUCGCGGCCUAUCAGCUAGUUGGUGUGGGUAACGCCACAAGGCGACGACGGGUAGCCGGCCUGAGAGGGUGACCGGCCACACUGGGACUGAGACACGGCCCAGACCUCCGUACGGGGAGCAG
rnacentral:rRNA from 1 species